AGUCGAGCGGAUGAGAAGAGCUUGCUCUUCGAUUCAGCGGCGGACGGGUGAGUAAUGCCUAGGAAUCUGCCUGGUAGUGGGGGACAACGUUUCGAAAGGAACGCUAAUACCGCAUACGUCCUACGGGAGAAAGCAGGGGACCUUCGGGCCUUGCGCUAUCAGAUGAGCCUAGGUCGGAUUAGCUAGUUGGUGAGGUAAUGGCUCACCAAGGCGACGAUCCGUAACUGGUCUGAGAGGAUGAUCAGUCACACUGGAACUGAGACACGGUCCAGACUCCUACGGGAGGCAGCAGUGGGGAAUAUUGGACAAUGGGCGAAAGCCUGAUCCAGCCAUGCCGCGUGUGUGAAGAAGGUCUUCGGAUUGUAAAGCACUUUAAGUUGGGAGGAAGGGCAUUAACCUAAUACGUUAGUGUUUUGACGUUACCGACAGAAUAAGCACCGGCUAACUCUGUGCCAGCAGCCGCGGUAAUACAGAGGGUGCAAGCGUUAAUCGGAAUUACUGGGCGUAAAGCGCGCGUAGGUGGUUUGUUAAGUUGGAUGUGAAAGCCCCGGGCUCAACCUGGGAACUGCAUCCAAAACUGGCAAGCUAGAGUACGGUAGAGGGUGGUGGAAUUUCCUGUGUAGCGGUGAAAUGCGUAGAUAUAGGAAGGAACACCAGUGGCGAAGGCGACCACCUGGACUGAUACUGACACUGAGGUGCGAAAGCGUGGGGAGCAAAC
rnacentral:rRNA from 1 species